ACUCCUACGGGAGGCAGCAGUGGGGAAUAUUGGACAAUGGGCGCAAGCCUGAUCCAGCCAUGCCGCGUGUGUGAAGAAGGCCUUCGGGUUGUAAAGCACUUUUGUACGGGAAGAAAGCGCCGGCUUAAUACGUUGGCGUCAUGACGGUACCGUAAGAAUAAGCACCGGCUAACUUCGUGCCAGCAGCCGCGGUAAUACGAAGGGUGCAAGCGUUACUCGGAAUUACUGGGCGUAAAGCGUGCGUAGGUGGUUUGUUAAGUCUGAUGUGAAAG
rnacentral:rRNA from 1 species